UACAGAGGUCCCGAGCGUUGUUCGGAUUUAUUGGGCGUAAGGGUGCGUAGGUGGCAAAGUAAGUUGGAUGUGAAAUCCUGGGGCUUAACCUCAGAAUUGCAUUCAAUACUGCUUAGCUAGAGAGCUGUAGAGGAGACUGGAAUUUACGGUGUAGCAGUGAAAUGCGUAGAUAUCGUAAGGAACGCCAGUGGCGAAAGCGAGUCUCUGGGCAGCAUCUGACACUGAGGCACGAAGGCCAGGGGAGCAAACGGG
rnacentral:rRNA from 1 species